AAAUUGAAGAGUUUGAUCAUGGCUCAGAUUGAACGCUGGCGGCAGGCCUAACACAUGCAAGUCGAACGGUAACAGGAAACAGCUUGCUGUUUCGCUGACGAGUGGCGGACGGGUGAGUAAUGUCUGGGAAACUGCCUGAUGGAGGGGGAUAACUACUGGAAACGGUAGCUAAUACCGCAUAACGUCGCAAGACCAAAGAGGGGGACCAUCGGGCCUCUUGCCAUCGGAUGUGCCCAGAUGGGAUUAGCUUGUUGGUGGGGUAACGGCUCACCAAGGCGACGAUCCCUAGCUGGUCUGAGAGGAUGACCAGCCACACUGGAACUGAGACACGGUCCAGACUCCUACGGGAGGCAGCAGUGGGGAAUAUUGCACAAUGGGCGCAAGCCUGAUGCAGCCAUGCCGCGUGUAUGAAGAAGGCCUUCGGGUUGUAAAGUACUUUCAGCGGGGAGGAAGGGAGUAAAGUUAAUACCUUUGCUCAUUGACGUUACCCGCAGAAGAAGCACCGGCUAACUCCGUGCCAGCAGCCGCGGUAAUACGGAGGGUGCAAGCGUUAAUCGGAAUUACUGGGCGUAAAGCGCACGCAGGCGGUUUGUUAAGUCAGAUGUGAAAUCCCCGGGCUCAACCUGGGAACUGCAUCUGAUACUGGCAAGCUUGAGUCUCGUAGAGGGGGGUAGAAUUCCAGGUGUAGCGGUGAAAUGCGUAGAGAUCUGGAGGAAUACCGGUGGCGAAGGCGGCCCCCUGGACGAAGACUGACGCUCAGGUGCGAAAGCGUGGGGAGCAAACAGGAUUAGAUACCCUGGUAGUCCACGCCGUAAACGAUGUCGACUUGGAGGUUGUGCCCUUGAGGCGUGGCUUCCGGAGCUAACGCGUUAAGUCGACCGCCUGGGGAGUACGGCCGCAAGGUUAAAACUCAAAUGAAUUGACGGGGGCCCGCACAAGCGGUGGAGCAUGUGGUUUAAUUCGAUGCAACGCGAAGAACCUUACCUGGUCUUGACAUCCACGGAAGUUUUCAGAGAUGAGAAUGUGCCUUCGGGAACCGUGAGACAGGUGCUGCAUGGCUGUCGUCAGCUCGUGUUGUGAAAUGUUGGGUUAAGUCCCGCAACGAGCGCAACCCUUAUCCUUUGUUGCCAGCGGUCCGGCCGGGAACUCAAAGGAGACUGCCAGUGAUAAACUGGAGGAAGGUUGGGAUGACGUCAAGUCAUCAUGGCCCUUACGACCAGGGCUACACACGUGCUACAAUGGCGCAUACAAAGAGAAGCGACCUCGCGAGAGCAAGCGGACCUCAUAAAGUGCGUCGUAGUCCGGAUUGGAGUCUGCAACUCGACUCCAUGAAGUCGGAAUCGCUAGUAAUCGUGGAUCAGAAUGCCACGGUGAAUACGUUCCCGGGCCUUGUACACACCGCCCGUCACACCAUGGGAGUGGGUUGCAAAAGAAGUAGGUAGCUUAACCUUCGGGAGGGCGCUUACCACUUUGUGAUUCAUGACUGGGGUGAAGUCGUAACAAGGUAACCGUAGGGGAACCUGCGGUUGGAUCACCUCCUUA
rnacentral:rRNA from 1 species